GGCAGCAGUGGGGAAUAUUGCACAAUGGGCGCAAGCCUGAUGCAGCCAUGCCGCGUGUAUGAAGAAGGCCUUCGGGUUGUAAAGUACUUUCAGCAGUGAGGAAGGUGGGUAUGUUAAUAGCAUAUUCAUUUGACGUUAGCUGCAGAAGAAGCACCGGCUAACUCCGUGCCAGCAGCCGCGGUAAUACGGAGGGUGCGAGCGUUAAUCGGAAUUACUGGGCGUAAAGCGCAUGCAGGUGGUUUGUUAAGUCAGAUGUGAAAGCCCGGGGCUCAACCUCGGAAUUGCAUUUGAAAACUGGCAAACUAGAGUACUGUAGAGGGGGUAGAAUUUCAGGUGUAGCGGUGAAAUGCGUAGAGAUCUGAAGGAAUACCGGUGGCGAAGGCGGCCCCCCUGGACAGAUACUGACACUCAGAUGCGAAAGCGUGGGGAGCAAACAGGAUUAGAUACCCUGGUAG
rnacentral:rRNA from 1 species